UUCUUAAAGAAUGUAUUUUAAGUAAAAUCUGCUCAAUGAUAUUAAAUAGCCGCAAACGUGCUAAGGUAGCAUAAUCACUCGCCUUUUAAUUAAAGGAUAGAAUGAAAGAUUGUACAAUUAAGUUUCUUUAUUAAGAAUAUUUAUUUAAUUUUUAUUAAAUAUAAAAAUAUAUUUAUAUAUAAAAAAGACGAUAAGACCCUAUUGAACUUUACUUUAGUUUAGUUGGGGAAACUAAUUAAUUAUAAUUUUAAUUUAUCCAAAUUAACAAAAUUCUAUUUUAAUAAACUUAUAAGCUACCAUAGGGAUAACAGCGCAAUUAUAUUUUAAAGCUCUUAUUUAAAAUAAAUUAUACGACCUCGAUGUUGAAUAUAAUUACUUAUAUAAGUAAAAAUAUAAAAAGUUAGUCUGUUCGACUAUAAAAAUUAUACA
rnacentral:rRNA from 1 species